UAAAAUUCUUCUAAGUGUGAUUAAAAUAUUUGUCAUCACAGACAUUUUGUGCUAUUGAAAAUUUCAAGCUGUCUUCUUUUGCACAUGUAGUUGAUUAUUUGUAGAAUGGAUUGAGAUGUAACCCAUUUUUAAUAUUUUUGAAAAAAUAUGUUUGUGAGUUCUUCUAUCUGCAAAUUCCAUGGAAUUUCUAGGGAUUUUUGGACAAACUCCAUAAUGAAAUUACUAGGACUUUGGAAAAGAUCUGCAGCCGAGAAAAGUACAUCAACAAUCAGCUUGAGAAUUUGGUUCAAGAAUAUCGUGCAGCUCAAGCCCAGCUGAGUGAGGCAAAGGAGCGAUACCAGCAGGGAAAUGGAGGAGUAACAGAAAGAACCAGACUCCUCUC
rnacentral:sRNA from 1 species